rnacentral:RNase_MRP_RNA from 2 species
UCCGCGCUCGAAGGAUCGCAUUCAAAGCUCACGCACAGCAGGUGCCCAUUCAGCAUCUGCAUACCCUUCUAGCUUUGGGAGAAAGUCCCCGGACCGCCCUACCUUUCCGCGCCCACGCGCGGUAAAGAACGUCAGGACCUGCCGCGAGGCACCGCCAUAAAAGCACCACCACUGCGGUCUACGCCCGCCUCCCGCUCUCUCCUCAGGCCCCUCUGAGCUACGGCCCGCCGACCUCAUCGUCGCUUGUAUUCCUUUUCCUCCGUGCGGGCGGGUGUUGGCGCCUCAACGCUGACGGGAGAUUCAUCCUGGAGAAGUGGAUGAAGAUACGAGUCCGCUCUCCACCACGGGAUGUUUUCUCUGUGAAGCCGAGACGCUGGACCCCACCCCACGGGGAAAUGUGAAGAGAAGGAGAGGGUACAUAAAUUGGGCGUGUGCCGUUCUGGCUCGGGGACUCGUCUGAGGAAGCUUACGAGUGAUUUUUGGAGGUUGCGCAAUUCGUCAUAUGUUGAAAGUUAUGCGAUUUCUCUGGCUGGUGCGGCUUCCUCUUAAGAGAGGCCGCUCCGACGCCGAGUAACUCGAUGGGGCUUAUUCUCGAGGCGCGG